UUUUUUUCACCAUGAAGGGGACUCAAUAAUCUAGCCCUACAUUGCCUAAUGAAUUUUAUUUAUGCUUCCGUUCUUGAAUAAAACUACUUCGCUGGACACUUAUUCAGGUAUCUGAAAACCUGAAAAGCAAAACUAUGGAUAAGAGGGAACUACUGUACAUCCAAAGAAAUUGAAAUUAGGAUCUUGAAGAGAUGUCUGCAUGUCCAUGUUCAUUGCUGCAUUGUUUAAAAUAGAGAAGACACAAAAGCAGCCAAAUGUCCAUCAAAGGAUGAACUGAUAAAGAAAAUGUAAUCUAUUAAUACAAUGGAAUACUAUUCAGCCUUAUAAGAAAGGAAAUGCUGCCAGUAGCAGCAACAUGGAUGAAUCUUGAGGACAUUAUGCCAGUGAAAUAAACCAGAUUAAAAAAAUACUAUACGAUGUCACACAUAUAAGAAACCCCAAGUAGCCAACUCAUAGAAACAGACAACAGAAUGGUAAUUGCUGGUGUCUUGGGGAGGAAAAGUGGGAAGGCAUUAGUCAAAGGCUACAAAGCUAUGGUUUUACAAGAUUAGUAAGUUCUACAGAUCAACUAUAUGGUACAAUGCCUGUAGUUCCAAUUACUGUAUUAUAUCCUUUAAUAUUUGCUAAACUCCUGACAUGGUAGCUCAUCCCUGUAAUCCCAGCAUUCUGGGAGGCCAAGGCAAGAGGAUCACUUGAAGCCAGGAGUUUGA
rnacentral:lncRNA from 1 species